rnacentral:rRNA from 1 species
AACGAACGCUGGCGGCAGGCUUAACACAUGCAAGUCGAACGCCCCGCAAGGGGAGUGGCAGACGGGUGAGUAACGCGUGGGAACGUGCCCUUCGCUUCGGAAUAGCCUCGGGAAACUGGGAGUAAUACCGAAUACGCCGUAUUGGGAAAGAUUUAUCGGCGAAGGAUCGGCCCGCGUUAGAUUAGCUAGUUGGCGGUGUAAUGGACCACCAAGGCUACGAUCUAUAGCUGGUCUGAGAGGAUGAUCAGCCACACUGGGACUGAGACACGGCCCAGACUCCUACGGGAGGCAGCAGUGGGGAAUCUUGGACAAUGGGCGCAAGCCUGAUCCAGCCAUGCCGCGUGAGUGAAGAAGGCCCUAGGGUUGUAAAACUCUUUCGCCGGAGAAGAUAAUGACGGUAUCCGGAGAAGAAGCCCCGGCUAACUUCGUGCCAGCAGCCGCAGUAACAC